CUCUUACCCUUUAUCUGAGAUACCGGCGGAUUUUGCCAGCCUCCUCGAAUUCUUCUUACCUUUUGUCCUGCGUUACACGCCGGGGAAAGGAAUUCUGGGAUCGUGUGUUAUGCUGAUGCAAAAUGUUUUUAAGAAGUAAAGAAGUUGUAAAACAAUGGAUACAAGUGUAUAUUUAUAAUACAAGAAAUGACGAUUCUGAAAAAGAAGCUGAUGACCAGAAUAAGGGAUAGGAAGAUGACCUGUUUGCUUGAAGAGCGAGGGAGAGUAAUAGCUCAGAGAAUCUCUGAAAAAGAUCUCUAGAAAAGACAAGGAAACAGAUUAUCCCCUAGAGCCUCCAGAAGGUGUACCCAACAUGGUUCUCACUGGAAUUACAGCAAAUUGGAAGACAGUGGUGGUGACACAGGGUGAAGAACUACUUUUCAGAGGGUGAAACACAAGACUGGCUUUUAGGAAUUUUCCCCCAAAGUAAUUUGUGACUGGAUCCUGUUGCCGAAACUUGGCCUCUGUUCACCGGUGCCGAAGAGGAACGCGGAGACAGAGUUUUGGGUGAAGUAGAAAAGAGUAGCUUUUAUUGCUUUGCCAGGCAGAGGGGGCCACGGCGGGCUAAUGCCCUCAAGACUGUGUGACCCACCCUCGAGGGCGUAGUGAGGAGUCUUACAGUGUCCGAGGAGCAGGGCGUGAUCAGCUCGCGGACAGUUCUCAGACUGGCUGGCAUCAAGGGGAAGUUUCAAGCGUCAUCAACUUUCUGGUUUCAACCAGUCCAGGGUCUAUGUGCUUGUGGGCAGCACUUUCCAUCUGGAGGGGGUCUGCUCCCUGUAAAACCACUUAGGAGUGUGUGUCAGGCCUUUAUCUGAAGCUUCAGUGAACUGGGAGUUCGGUGAUUCUGCCAUGUGGCGGAUUUAUAGUCUAAAUUGUUGCCCGUUCCCCAGCCCAACAGCUGUUCUUUGUUUCUACACCUUCACAUUCCCUAAUCAUUAACUCUUGAGUCAGCACUUUACUUCAAAAGACAAGGACACGGGGGCUCGUACACGGUUUCAACCCUGACCAAGUCUGAGAUUUACACGAUGCAUAUGCUGUUGUUUUCAUAAAUGUUAACGUCCAUAAAAUGAAGUUCUUAAAAGCAUUA